UUUUCCGGUGCAACCAACGUAAGUUUCAUUACCGCCACCUAGUGGACAGAAAAAGCAAGAGAAAGUUUUAUUUUACUGAAGUUCCAUUAUCUAAAUCAGACAUCUCCUUUUCUCUCGACGUUUUGACCCUUUAACCGCUUUGAUGUUUUUCUUUAGGGGCAAAAAAAAGCUUCAUGAAUAUUUUAGCAGAAAACAUUUUGUUUUGUUUUUGUUUUUAAGUUAGGCAGCCGCCCCACAAGAAGAACAAAGUUUAGGGAAGGCGUUAAUUGAGUAAUUGUUUCGUGUAAUGAUUGAUAUGUCCACCAGAGGGCGAUAGUGAACGUGUGAAUUUUGAAGGCAAGGUAACUUUAUAGCACACUUCACACACAGAGGCAAUUCAAUGUACUUUCUAAUUAGCAAGAAUAGCAAGAACAUUAAAAUCAACGUGACAGCAAAAAUAAAAUACACACAAAUCAAAAUUAGGUUUAAAAAGAAAAAGACUAAAUUAAAAGGUUAGCAGUUACAGUGCAGAAAGCUCAGUAUAAGAACAUUCAUUCAAAGGGUGAUGAAAACAUGAAGGUUUUUAAUUUAGAUUUAAAAGCUACUAGAGUUGGGGCACAUUUGAAGUCACGAGAAAGCUGAUUCCAUCUGUGUGCAGCUAAAAGCAGCUUCACCCUGUUCCGACCUGGGGUUCUACCAGCUGAUUUGCUUCCUAAGGAUCUCAGAGUUUUUCUGCACUACAGGAAGGAGGUCAGACAUGAAUCUGGCACCAUGCCAUUGACUGAUUUAUAAACUAGUAGAAGUACUUUGAAAUCAGUUCUGUACUUUACUGGUAACCACUAAACUACAUGGGUAACACUAACGGGUUACCCAUGGCGAAGCCUUCCAGUUCGUCACAUGACCAGCUUGUCUCUGAUGUAAUCACUGACCAAACAGAGAUGACAUCAUGUUUUCACCACUCACUGAUCCCUGAUCAGGUUAGCUGUCAUGGAGCUGAUGUCCACUUCAACAAGGAAGGAACUGGAUUCAUUGGUGCUGGUUUGUCUCCCUCUGGUGGUGAAAACACAAACUGCAUGAAGCCAGUUUGAUGAACACAAAUGACAUGACGUGUUGAAAAAUGUUUCUUCUUCUUCAGUCUAGUGAUUCUAACUGUAGUAAUGAGUGCUGUUAACCACACAGGUACUAACGUGUCUCUGAAAUUUCCCAAAUGGACCCUGCAGUAAAACAAACCUGCUUCCAUUCAACACAGAGGACAGUCUGGACUAUUUGAGACCUGUGGAAACCAGACGAUGGUCCCAUUUUAAUGAGAGUGUGGAUCAGAUCUGUUUCCGUCUCCUUCAUGCUGCUUCGGACUGGAAUCUGGGGACUUUGGACAGUGGACCAGUGUCUCAGGCUCUGUCUCAUGGUCCUCACACUGAUGCUGAGCAGGUUGUCGUCUCUGUGUUUUGUCCUGCAGGAGAAGGCAGCUGCUGCCAGGGAGCAGUGGAGGGCUCAGUCUGCAGCCAUGUGUCCAUGAAUGAGACGUGUCCUAAUGACGUCCACGUAGGUGUAGAAUGAAGCUGAUGAACAGAGUUAGAAAUGUACACAGCUUCCCAUCAUUUUAAUAGCAGAAUCAGCUCAGAAGGAGUUGAGUUUCAACAACAGCAUCAGUUGUUCCUUUGAGGUUGUUGCUUUCCUUCUGAUGCUUCUGCAACUUUCUGACAUUCAGAGCAGCUUCAAACUCACCAGAAGAUUUGAGCCAAGCUGCAGUAAAAUCAGGAGCUGGCGUGGCACAAAUACUGGGAAUGAGUGGAUCUGCAUGGAUCCACAUAGAAAACUGUAGAAACAUACGGCAACUUCUUCCUGUCAGAUAGAAGAAAAACACAAAUGAAAUAGAAGAGUUGAUUUUAUGCAUCCAUGUUGUUGCUGAAUAAAACAGACAUCAUAUUAAUUUUCCCAGACUAGAACUGAACCAUCAUCAUCUAUGAUUGCUGCGUCCCAGAACGUCCCGCUGCUCCGUUGUCAUAGAAACAUAUUUUUGUCAGGUGACAGAACAGCUGCAGCAGGAGAGGCUGCUUACAGAUGUUUACACUCAGUUCAGAACACCUUCCUCAGCUCACAGCCUAACCUGGUUUAGAGGGAGAGCUGUUCAUACUCCAGACCGGUAGGUGGCGGUAAUGCACCUCACGUGGUUACCCAUGUGGUAGAAGCAGCACCUGUAAACAUCCACAGGCUGUGGAAGCUUUCUUCUCCUCCUCAACAACUUGGUACGAGUUCUUUCCAGAACCAGAGAAGAUGUUCAGCGGUCUUCGUGACAAUCGGAGCUCCAAAAGCAGCUGUUAGCUAAACACGGCUAAAGAAAACCUGCUACCACUUCAGGAUCAUCCAUCAGCUGGGACUGAUUCAUCGUGUUUACUUCACCAUCUGGAUCUGGACAGCAUGGAUACAGGUGCUGUGGAGGAAAAUAGGGAGACCAGCAAAGACAGGCACCUUUGUAAAAGGCAGAAACGGUCCAAAGUUUGGGAUCAAGAGUUGAAAAACGGGUAUUUCAUUUAUUUGUUUAUAAAGCCCCUUCUGCAACUGACGCUGAUGCCCAAGGUGCUGAACACAACACAAAUAAAACGUAAAGCCAUCAAAUAAAAUGUAACAAUCGUUAAAACCAGCAUAGAAAAAUUAAAAGAGAGAAGUAAAACCAGACAAUAAAAUACAGCAAAAGAAUAAGCGGCUGGGGCAACGUAACCAAGAAAAAGAUGCUAAUCCUGGAAUGCCUUGACACUGCCAUAGGCCAUUCAUCCCCUCUGCAGUAAGAGUGUAUAACUCCUCAGUUCAAGCUGUACUGGCAUUAACCUGCUAUACAAUAACACCUAUGUAAUACUCAGUAUGUAUUCAAUUAGGGCUGAAUGAUUUUGGAAAAUAAUGUAACUGCAAUUUUUUUUCUUCAAUAUUGCAAUUGCGAUUUAAUUCACAAUUAUUUUCUCAAGGGGCUUUUCUCAUUUUUCAACUAA